GACGAACGCUGGCGGCGUGCUUAACACAUGCAAGUCGAACGGUGAAGCGCCUUCCUUGUUGGUGGGUGUGGAUGAGUGGCGAACGGGUGAGUAACACGUGAGUAACCUGCCCCCUUCUUCUGGAUAACCGCAUGAAAGUGUGGCUAAUACGGGAUAUUCUGGGUCUGUCGCAUGAUGGGUCUGGGAAAGAUAUUGUUUCGGUGGGGGAUGGGCUCGCGGCCUAUCAGCUUGUUGGGGGGGUGAUGGCCUACCAGGGCGGGGACGGGUAGCCGGCCUGAGCGGGUGGCCGGUCACACUGGGACUGCGACACGGCUCAGACUCCUACGGGAGGCAGACGUGGGGAAGAUUGCACAAUGGGCGAAAGCCUGAUGCAGCGACGACGCGUGAGGGAUGGCGGCCUUCGGGUUGUGAACCUCUUUCGCCAGUGAAGCAGGCCUGCCUCGUUUGUGGGUGGGUUGACGGUAGCUGGAUAAGAAGCGCCGGCUAACUACGUG
rnacentral:rRNA from 1 species